rnacentral:rRNA from 1 species
AACGAACGCUGGCGGCAUGCCUAACACAUGCAAGUCGAACGAGACCUUCGGGUCUAGUGGCGCACGGGUGCGUAACGCGUGGGAACCUGCCCUUAGGUUCGGAAUAACUCCCCGAAAGGGGUGCUAAUACCGGAUAAUGUCUUCGGACCAAAGAUUUAUCGCCUUUGGAUGGGCCCGCGUUGGAUUAGCUAGUUGGUAGGGUAAAAGCCUACCAAGGCGACGAUCCAUAGCUGGUCUGAGAGGAUGAUCAGCCACACUGGGACUGAGACACGGCCCAGACGCCUACGAGAGGCAGCAGAGGGGAAUAUUGGACAAGGGGCGAAAGCCUGAUCCAGCAAGGCCGCGUGAGUGAUGAAGGCGUUAGGGUUGUAAAGCUCUUUUACCCGGGAUGAUAAGGACAGUACCGGGAGAAUAAGCUCCGGCUAACUCCGU